UACGUAGGGACCGAGCGUUGUCCGGAUUCAUUGGGCGUAAAGGGCUCGUAGGCGGUUUGUCGCGUCGGGAGUGAAAACCUUGGGCUUAACUCAGGGCUUGCUUUCGAUACGGGCAGACUAGAGGUAUGCAGGGGAGAACGGAAUUCCUGGUGUAGCGGUGAAAUGCGCAGAUAUCAGGAGGAACACCGGUGGCGAAGGCGGUUCUCUGGGCAUGAUCUGACGCUGAGGUGCGAAAGCGUGGGGAGCAAACAGG
rnacentral:rRNA from 1 species